rnacentral:tRNA from 1 species
GGCGCUGUGGCUUAGUUGGUCAAAGUGCCUGUCUAGUAAAACAGGAGAUCCUGGGUUCAAAUCCCAGCAGUGCCG